UACGUAGGAGGCGAGCGUUAUCCGGAUUCACUGGGCGUAAAGCGCAUGUAGGCGGUUGGACAAGUCGUGUGUUAAAGCCCCUGGCUCAACUGGGGGAGGUCGUGCGAGACUGUGCGACUUGAGGGCAAGAGAGGCACGUGGAACUCCCGGUGUAGCGGUGGAAUGCGUAGAGAUCGGGAAGAACACCAGUGGCGAAGGCGACGUGCUGGGUUGCACCUGACGCUGAGAUGCGAAAGUGUGGGGAGCAAACGGG
rnacentral:rRNA from 1 species